AGAGAGCCCACGUCUGGGCAAGAAUUACAGGGGAUUUGGUGGUGCUUGAGCAACGGUGUGGAAGGCAGGGCUGGCUUCUGGGUCCAGACAGCACCGAGCUGUGACAUCUGAGGCUCUUGGCUUGGUCUGAGGACAAGCAUCUCGUGUGUAGGUCAGGGGGUGGCUGCAUGGGACAGAGAAGCACCCUUUUAUCUGUCGGGGAGCGCACUGGGCAUGCCAAAGUAUAAAUUAAAGUGUGUCACGUACAAAUGAACGUGGUAAUUGUAUAAGAGCUUGUGCACAAGGGAUGAGGUCCAUAAGAGUAGGACUUCUGUGCGUGUUACCCGGGUGUGAGCUCUGCUGAUUCGGUCUGUCUGAGGAUCUGUCCCAGAGCGUGUCCACGGCCGUGAGCGCAGGGCAGAAGGAACCUGCUGCGUGUACAAGGAUGUCCCUGCCACGCCGGUCCCUCUGCACCGUUUAACGCAACGUUGAUUAACCAGAUGCUUUCGGUGGUCGCCUGUACACUAGCCUUUUGGCUAAAAUUCGCUGGAAACCACUUGAAUCUAAAAUAAAGACAUUACACAAGCAUGUUAAAUGAAAAAGAAAAAAGCUAGAAAUCAAUUUCCAUUAGUAAGCUGUCUGCAAGGGAUGGGAAAUUAAACACUAAUUUACUUCAGUUAUGGGUCAUUACCUGAAUUUCAUGGCCAGAGGCAGAAUUGCUGGUUCCUAGCAGAAUGCGGUAUUACUGUUAUAACAUAGAACCACCGAGAUCUUCUGUUUUAUUGGGCUCAGAGGAAAUUAUUUUUUUGUGGGAGGAGAAAGAAAGAAAAAAAAAACCAGUGUUAAGGGACAGAUUUUCAGCUAGCAUAAAUCAAUGCCCUGCUGUUGCAGUGGUGUGUUUAUAUAGUGUAAUUGCCACUUUGAAAUAACAGAUGCAGCCCACAUUAAUCAAGCAGUAGCCACCUGCAUGUCCUUUCUGAGUCUGUUGCUAUUUGCGAUUGGAAACUUCUGUCACGCAACGAUGCAGCUACUGUACGCGACUGGAUGGUUUCCAUUGCGGUCAGUCACUUCUCCACUGAAGUGGUCGCCCUGCGGAUGGUGGGUGGCGUUGCCUUCGCCAGGCUUUGGCAACUUGGUCAGAGAGCAGGCAGUUCUGUAGGUGGUAGUUAUUUCCUUCCCUGGCCUUGAGCACAAAACCGUGAUUGCUGGUUUGCUUGGCGUAUAGCAGUUGUAUUCCCAGGCCCUUUUGGAGUCCAAUAUGCUGGAAGAACUAAAAACUAAGGGUCAAAUGACAAGGAUCUCGGUAGAUCUGGGAAGCUGGGGCUGAUGCUGCGUGACUGGGGAACAGGAAAUGCAAAGAGGAAAAAAAUAGCAGAGGCGAUUACAGGCCUAAAAUUCAUGUGUGAGUCUUACUUGAGCUUUAGAGCAAAGAGAGGGAGAAGUGAAGACAUGGAGGUACAUGGAAAAUGGGAUAAUAUGUGACAGAUUUGGCGGGAGUGAAUCACAGCAGGCUGGAUGCCAUUGCCUGGGCAGAUGCCUGCUUCCUAAGCGAGAUGACGUGGUACCCCUGUCACUGGUCUGGACUUCUGAAUAGCAUCUGCUGCGGUGCUGACCAGGCAACGAUGAAGCUGAAGACGCUGGCGGGUGGCAGCGGGGCUGCUGGGCGGGUAGGCAGAAGAGACGACGGGAGGGGGCACAGAAAGACAAGGAUCAGGUUUGGGAAGGGUCUCUGGUGGCACUGACCAGGCAUCAGUACUGGGACCAGGAGUGAUUUUAAAUAUAGUACGAGCACGUGCACGAACACUCCGAGACAAGCGUGUGUGCACGCCCCAGGCCUCCGCUUCUGUACGUGAAGGCGUGCUGCGGGGGGGAGCAGCCCUGCAAUAAACCGGAAAGACUUUCUCUCGCACAGUAUUGGUUUUCCUCUGUUACCACAGAUUUAUGUCUCAAUAUUUCUGGUUUGAAUCAUUUUACAGUAAUACAAGGUGAGGUAAUACUACCUCUUAGUAAGAUCAUUUCUAUACUAUGUUUUGGUAUGCUUCUGAUUAUUAAAGUAAUAUUACUGCUGGGUUUCAGAUCACUGCAGUGUGUUUUCAUGAAAGAAAAGACAUGGGAGAACUGAGUUACACAAGUGUGUUUGUUUUCCUCUUCUUAGCAACCUUUGCACGUUGUCCCAAGAGGUUUUCGGUCUAUGCAAGAUUAAUUGCCCAAAUAUAAAAGCCCUGUUAGCCUGAAUAUAUUAUUGAAAAACAGCAUAUUUCAAUCUGCCCUAGUUUAGAAAAUAGAGGUGCCAGGUCAGCUCCUGGCAUAAAUCGCCAACGCUCCUCAGAAGCCACCAGAGCUUCUCUGAUUUACAUCGGCAAUAAAGUCGUCCUGGUUUGUCUGCCGCUGAUGAGAGCAUGAGUGUGCUCACCGAGCUGCCGCAAAUGACGCGGCGGUGGCUGGGGAGGAACCUUCCUGGCAGCCACCAUCCUCCGAACAACUCGAACCUGCCAGCCUUGACACUGCAAAAUAAAAUAUUUCAUUUUUCAGGAUGAAAAGCCAUUUUAAAAAAUCCCCAUGUCUUAUUUCUAAUGAAUAAAACCUUGUCUUUAUAAGUUUUCGGUUAUGUUGAAAUAAAAAUUCUGGAUACUAUGAAAUAAUAUAGGAUUUUCCAACUUAACACUUGGGGUUUUUUUCCAUGUGGGCUGAGGUGGCCCCGAGCGGGCCAGGGCAAGAGCCCACAGCCCCUCGAAACGCGGAUGUGGAUUGCUCAGUGAGCUGAACCUUGCAGCUUGAAUUUCCACCCUGUCUCCACUAGAGGGAAUUUUAAAAGAAGGUCUUUCUUAGGAUUAAAGUCCAGUUUUCAGUGUGUUAAAACGUACUGCCUGCAGGACGCUGCUGGCUCUGGAUGCGCAGGGGCACUGGCUCUUCUGUAAGGCACAAGAUCCUGCCUCGGCCCUGGCUGAUCACAGCUAAUCACAGGAACAACUCUGACGUGAGAUGUAGAGACGUGUGAGCAAAGUGAAUACUGCCUCUUGCAGCACCCUUUCCAGAAGGCUGCAGCCGGUUGUGAAGGAGGACAGAUGCUUCACAUCUAAGCACCUUCCAGGUACAGACAGCAAGCGGAUCACAGUCUCUGUUCCUCGUGCCCUUCUCUGGUGGCUUUUAAGGUCUCGGCAGUUGGGGUUGGUUCUUACUGUGGUGGCUUUAACCCUGACGUGAUGGCCCACACAAACUGGUCACAGCAGAAGCCUCUGCAGGAGUGUGGUUUUUUCCAUUCACAGCAGAGGAGUUGCCAGCUGCAAAGUCUAGAAGGGAUGAAGCAACCAUCCCAACCAUCCCACCGGCAACGCUUCCGCUGGGAGCGAUGCGCAGUCGCGCUUUCCCCUGACAACAUCUGCAUCGAGGAGUGACAAAGAUGGGGGUGCAGCAGGAGUAACGCUGCUUGCAAACGACAAAACGAGCAUCUCUGAAUUGCUUUAAAGGCGAGGCUCGAAGUCUGAACAAGCUGUAGAGUGCCAGAAUUUUUCUGUCUUUAUGGGUAUGUGCCAGCUGCUAAAAAUGACUCAUUUCUUCUUAGAAAGCUGUCCUGCUGCCUUGGCAAAGCUUUGCUGCUUGGUGCCUUGAUGGUAGGAUUGGUUUAUUUUUAAGGAAAUGCAGCUGAGCCAUGGUAUUACAUCUGUUGCCAUUGUUUGGCCAGAUUUUUGCAAGAAGAUCACAAGGAAAAAAAGGGUUGUGAAACAUCUCGUGUGUUGCCAUAGAGUUCAAAGAGGGUGUUAUCUGAGCCAUAUAGACCUCAUCCAAUUUCAGCUUUCUGACCUUUGGCCCAGGUUCUGCAGAGUAAGUGUACAACAACCCCACCUAAAUCAAGGGUGUAAAUCCCCCCCGAGAAGCACCAUCCGCACAUGGUAAAUGCCAGAGUACUUCCCUGGACUAUUCUGGUGAACACGUUGAUGGGCAGAGACAUGGUUCAAGCAAAUGUGAGGGCAUUUUUGGAGAGAGGGAGUUCUGAAUUAGAAAUGUGACUUGUGUAAAGGCAGUGUUACGGUUUGGUUUCCUUCAAUGACUGGUGUAAGUAGAAAAUGGAAUUUAUUGCUUUCUUUGUGCUGAAUCAGGUCUUCUAACUUUAAUAGAAGAGGUUCUUCUUUUUACAGCAGUGAUCCAUCCAAGGGCAUCAACUACUGCAGUAUUCCCCACAGCCAUCGGAUGAUAAGGUUAUGUCUAAAUGGUAUAUUGAAUGCAGACAUGAAAUUGCUCUGCCAGAGCUCUUGAUAUCUGGACAGACUCCAGCUUUGAUCCAGAAAGCUGUACGACUGCCAGGAAAGCAGAGCAGAGCCCAAAUUCAUACGGAUGAGAGUGGUCAUGCCUGCUGGAACAAGCUCACCUCAUCCCAUGGUGUAACAGAUAGACGUGCCUCCAGGGUUGUCUUCUCUUGAAUUUGCCCAGACCGCUACGAUUCAUGGAGAUUGUUCAGGGAAAGUCAGGGAGAUCUGGGAAUGAGGAAUCAACUGGAGAAGAAACCUCAUGUCUGGCUGCCAAUUCACAGGAUGGAAAAAAGAAACCACUGGCUUAGUAAACUGCUGCAACCUAUUCUGACAGCGCUGCCACAAAGGCACUGCUGCUGUCAGAGGUGCUAGUGCCGGUUCAUGUCAAUCAUGGGGUUUCACUGCUGCACGUGUUCCCCUUCCAGCUGGAAGAUAAAAGCCUGUUUCCUUCAAUUCAUUGGUGUCAAUGCAGCCUGGUCCCAUGUGGAAUCCCAGAUAUCAGUGGUAGAAAUGAUGCGUGAGGUGAAUGGAUGUGAACGAGCCCUCGGGAGGAAGCGUGUCCCUGACAUUGUAAUGACAGCGUGCUGAAUCUUAGCCAGGGGCUGAGAAUCUUCAAACACAUGCCAAAUGAAGGAAACCUGCCUGGGAGCGAAGGAUUUUUAUUUAAAAAAUUAAGAUGAUAAAAACAAGUGUGAUUUCCCAGCUCCUGCCCACUCUUAUUUCCUGUCCUGGAAAUUCACUAGAAAAACCCUUAUUUCUGCAAAACUCCGGGUGGUUCAGAGUUUGACCCAGUUUUAGAGAUAAGGUACUUGUCUCAAAUACCACAUCUAGAUUGCUACCAGAUCUUGGAUUCUGGUUUAGGGUCAAUUCUGUUUGAAUGGCCAAAGGCAAGUACUUCAAUAAUAUUGUGGCCUUAAUUUUUUUUUUUUUUUUGGUAAUUUAAUUAGGAGCUUGAUCUGGUUUUGGGGCAGGACACAAAGUGGAUUACAGGAGCAGCUGGGUCUUUAAUUAGGGCCAUUUAUCUUUUGUUAAAAGUUUAACCUUUGCUUGCACAGAGAGGCAACGACAGCAAGGGACAGAGCUUCAGCAGUGUGUGUUUGUGCGCAGAGCGCCAGGUCAGCCAGGUAUGCGCAAGACUGCGUGGCUGGGAGUACUCUCAUCUUGCUCGAAUCUCACUGCAGCUAUCCCAAAGUACCAACGGGCAGCUGUGUCAUACGGCUAUUUAUAGAAACCAGGAACUGGAGGGUAAAUAUUUAUUUAGAUUCCAAUGCUUAAUCUGCUACUGGCGAACUGUGUGGAAAGCCUGGGCCCCCACUCUUCCUACAGCAAUUUAUUACCAGAGCCUUCAUCUCCUCUCCUUCUCCCGACAGUCUCAUACACAUUCCCCAGGAUUAAUUCUGCAGAAAAUGGGCAUGGCCUGGGUUCAGCCCCUCCGGCACCUUCUGGUCCCACACCAUCCUGGCAGGCAUCCCGCCCUCUGUCUCUCCUCCCUCAUUUUAACUGACUGGCAUUCAGAGGUAGAAACUGUGAAUCCAGGCACCCAGGGUGCGUGAAGGGUAAUGGCACGAGGCCGUCGUUGCUCUGCUGGAUAGACAGGUUUGUUUGCAAUGACGUGGGGUGGGACAGAGCAGCGGAUGGGAGCUGUGGAGCCGCUUGGAUUUGUCACUAAGCUGGCUGAAUGAUGACAGCUGUGCUCUUCUGGCAGGCUGACAAGGCAGAGCCGCCCCCGUUGUAAAGCCACCUCUGUUCAUGGUUACUGCAGAGUCCUACAGUAACCAUAAACCCUGCCACUGCCCACCCCACUCCUUUCCUCAGCCAGAACAACAGAUAUAUAUUGAGGGUGGGGACAGGGAAACUGGAAGGAUGCUCCAUGUUCAUCAGCAAGGACUGAUGGAGACAACAUCCCCCCUGCCCCACCGCAGUCACGGGGGCUGCCCUGGGCUCAGUGUCUCCCACCGCAACCAGUGACCAGGAGACCGGGGCUCCAAGGGACGCGUCCUCCCAGCCCCAAAAGCGAGGGCUGUAGUGAGCAGUGCUGGAGGUGGGAAGGCAUCAGCAGAAGUGGCUGCAGGUGGGGAUGGCUGGGGCAUUAGCACAGGUGGGGUAUAUCCAUGCUUAUUAGUGAGCCGUGUGCUCAUUAACAAGGCACAAGGCCCCAGCUGUCACACCUCCCCCCCACCCUGCAGUGGUGUUAAAGCAUCCUGUCCCCCUAACCCAUCAACUUCUUCUCUACCUAUUACAGACGCUGCUGGAGCUCUGGCAGUGCCAGGAGGAAUGGCUGGUGGGAGCUGGCAUCCAGACUGGCCCUGCCAGCGGUGAAAAGUCAGGUGAGCAGCAAGGUUUGUCUCUGAGCACAGGAGAGCAGUGCAGGAAAGGGAACAAUAAAAGGCAGCUUGGUACAAGCUUGUCCUGUCUUGGCAUGUGAAAAGAGAGCAGCUGCAAGUGGCACAGCCUGGGGAUCUGGGCUGGCAUUUGGGAAAGGUGGCCCAGGAUAGCGGCUGUUGCAGGAGCUCUGGUUUCCCAUCUUUGUGCUAACCCUAGUUCCCCUUAGCAAUGCGACUUCUCUCUGCAGCCAGCUAGAGCUGUUAGCUAGCAGGAGGUAUUGCUGUCAUCCCAAUACAGGGAAGUGGCAGCAUGUCCCCGUCUUGUGUGUGUAGGGCUUUUCCGAUAAGAACACACAUUUCCCUUUCAUUUGCUGGAGUGUUUUAUGGCAGAUGAGAAUCUUGUUGUACUUCUCUGUAAUGGAUUUUUCCUUUGCAAUCUCCUAUCCUUAUUGUUUCUUGCUAGGGAGGUGUGGACACAUCAGAGAGAAGAUCCUUAACUUCUGGGCAGGUGGAGCAGCAGAUCAGACCACAGAUUACCACAGCAGUCUCUUCUUCAUCCCUGCAGUAUCUGCUGUAAAGGCACUAUUUCUCAGGGAUGGCAAAGCAAGCUUCAGCAACAAAUUUCUCUCCCUCUCUAGCUCUUCAUGUGAGAAAAAGUGUAAGAAGGCUGGGUAUCCCUAAACUAAUGGGGCAAGUGAGACUAAGUAGCUUGUGCAAAUUUGUGCAGAGGAACCUAUAAGGCACCCGAGAGCUACCCAGAGCACCCUGCAAAGGAAUACAGCUUCUGGAAGAAAACCCUCAACACAGCCAGGAAAAGCGUUUGCACUGCAUGUACCAUUUUUAUUUUCAUAUAUAUUACAUCAUUUUUAAAAAGAA